rnacentral:rRNA from 1 species
UACGUAGGUGGCAAGCGUUGUCCGGAAUUAUUGGGCGUAAAGCGCGCGCAGGCGGUCCUUUAAGUCUGAUGUGAAAGCCCACGGCUCAACCGUGGAGGGUCAUUGGAAACUGGGGGACUUGAGUGCAGGAGAGAAGAGUGGAAUUCCACGUGUAGCGGUGAAAUGCGUAGAGAUGUGGAGGAACACCAGUGGCGAAGGCGACUCUUUAGCCUGUAACUGACGCUGAGGCGCGAAAGCGUGGGGAGCAAACAGG